AGAGUUUGAUCCUGGCUCAGAAUGAACGCUGGCGGCGUGCCUAACACAUGCAAGUCGUACGAGAAAGGGGCUUCGGCCCUGAGUAGAGUGGCGCACGGGUGAGUAACGCGUGGGUAAUCUGCCCUUGGAUUUGGAAUAACUCCGCGAAAGUGGAGCUAAUACCGGAUAGUCUGGCUUUUAAUAGAAGUCGGUAAAGGAUGCCUCUGCAUAUGCAUUCGUCCGAGGAUGAGCCCGCGUCUCAUUAGCUAGUUGGUAGGGUAAUGGCCUACCAAGGCAACGAUGAGUAGCUGGUCUGAGAGGAUGAUCAGCCACACUGGAACUGAAACACGGCCCAGACUCCUACGGGAGGCAGCAGUGAGGAAUUUUGCGCAAUGGGGGAAACCCUGACGCAGCAACGCUGCGUGAGUGAUGAAGGCCUUCGGGUCGUAAAGCUCUGUCAAGUGGGAAGAACCUGCAUUGGGUUAACAUCUCAGUGCACUGACGGUACCACUGAAGGAAGCACCGGCUAACUCCGUGCCAGCAGCCGCGGUAAUACGGAGGGUGCAAGCGUUAUUCGGAAUUAUUGGGCGUAAAGGGCGCGUAGGCGGCCGUUUAAGUCAGGUGUGAAAGCCCGGGGCUUAACCCCGGAAGUGCAUUUGAUACUGAGCGGCUUGAGUAUGGGAGAGGGAAGUGGAAUUCCUGGUGUAGAGGUGAAAUUCGUAGAUAUCAGAGGAACACCGGUGGCGAAGGCGACUUCCUGGACCAAUACUGACGCUGAGGCGCGAANGCGUGGGGAUCAAACAGAUUAGAUACCNUGGUAGUCCACGCAGUAAACGGUGAUCACUAGGUGUAACGGGUAUUGACCCCUGCUGUGCCGCAGCUAACGAUUAAGUGAUCCACCCGGGGAGUACGAUCGCAA
rnacentral:rRNA from 1 species